rnacentral:rRNA from 1 species
AAUGAACGCUGGCGGCAUGCCUAACACAUGCAAGUCGAGCGAAUGAAGGGGGCUUGCUCCUGGAUUCAGCGGUGGACGGGUGGGUAAUGCCUAGGAAUCUGCCAUGAAUUGCGGAAUGAGGUCCGGAAACGGGCGCUAAUCCCGCAUACGACCUUAUAUAGAAAUUGGGGGAUCCUCCGUCCUAACGCUAUCUGAUGAGCCUAGGUUGCAGUAGCUAGUUGGGGCCGUAAAGGGAUAAAGAGGCGACGAAGCGUAACUGGUAUGAGAGGAAGAUCCGUCACACGGUAAGUGAGACACGGCCCAGACUCCUACGGGAGGCAGCAGUCGGGAAUAUUAGGCGAUGGGGGAGAGGCGGAUACAGCAAUGCCGCGGGAGUGAUGAAGGUCUUAGGAUUGUAAAGCACUGUAAGUUGGGAGGAAGGAAAGUAAGUUUAUCCGUUGCGAUUUUGACGGUACCGACAGAAUAAGCACCGGCUAACUUCGUG